rnacentral:rRNA from 1 species
CCUACGGGUGGCAGCAGUGGGGAAUAUUGCGCAAUGGACGAAAGUCUGACGCAGCGACGCCGCGUGAGGGAUGAAGGUUUUCGGAUCGUAAACCUCUGUCAGGAGGGAAGAAAGCGCAUGGCGCCAAUCAGCCAUGCGUUGAUUGUAUCUCCAAAGGAAGCGCCGGCUAACUCCGUGCCAGCAGCCGCGGUAAUACGGAGGGCGCGAGCGUUAAUCGGAUUUACUGGGCGUAAAGCGCGCGUAGGUGGUUGUUUAAGUUUGGGGUGAAAUCGCACGGCUCAACCGUGGAACAGCCCUUGAUACUGGGCGACUUGAAUCCGGGAGAGGGUGGCGGAAUUCGAGGUGUAGGAGUGAAAUCCGUAGAUAUCUGGAAGAACAUCGGUGGCGAAGGCAGCCACCUGGACCGGUAUUGACGCUGAGGCGCGAAAGCGUGGGGAGCAAACAGGAUUAGAUACCCCAGUAGUC